rnacentral:lncRNA from 1 species
UUGAAUGGCAUCUCUUACUAUAAAUAGAGGCCUUCAUUCUUCAUUUCAAUCGCACCAAAAUAAGAGAGAAGCAAUAGAAGUUAGAGAAAGUAAUCCACAGAUUGUAGUCUGUGAGAUAAAUAGUGAGUGUGAGUAAUAUUGUAGUGAAGUGUUUUAAAUAAAGAGUGUUAUUUCUUUCAAGAUUGUAGUAGUCUCUUGACACUACUAAGUUGUAAUAUUAUAGUGGUUAUAUUGCUCCACUCGGGUAUUGUAUUUUAUCCAUUAAAAGAGUUGGUAUCGUUGUUACUUUCUUAUGUUAUUAUUAUUUGUCGUGGAUAUUAUUUCUGGGCGGGAUUAUUAUUUUUUCCAACAGACAAAGGAUAUCCAUAAAGCUUAUCAAAGUGAUGAGCAGAUCUUUAAUUGCACACUUUAAAAAUCAAAUAAAACCCACAAUCAUGUGUGCACGAUAUUCCACUGUCAUACUAAAGAUAUUCAUUGUUUGAUCCCUCAAUUUUGUUUAUAAACUACAUAUAUACAUUAACCUAUUUGUUAUAUCAAGUAGUAUUUCUUUAGAUUGUAAUGAACCACUUGACAACAUAAUGUUAACCAAAACUGAAGCACUUAUCUAGAGUGGUUUCGAAUGUUAAAAUCAGUGUUUUGAUGCUUCCUUCAGAUUCAUGUUCCUCUAGCUCUGCCUUCUCAGCAAUGUUCAAGAAGACUUCUUCUAGCACUGUAAGACAUGUGGAUGUUCCAUAUGCCAAACUCCAUUUAACUAAUUUCUAUCUUAGUAAAUAACUUCUGAUGGAGACGUGCACACAUACACACACAUGUAAACAGAAUAUGAGAAAUGUUGUAAUAUUAAUACGUCUGUUGAUUCUCCUUGUUGUGAGGAAUAACAAAUACCAAGCAAGACUUAUCUUCCACUUUUGGUGUGACAUCUAAGUCAAGUCAAACAAAAAACUUAAGUGAGGAGCAUGAGUUUAUUAAUAGUAGAAAAUAUCAAGAAAAACUUCUUAGUAAAAAGACAUGUCUGAAGAAUUCUUUGGCAGUCUCAUUACACUUCAUGUCUAUCAUAUUACUUGUGGAAAUCACAUCAUCAAAGCAGUAAAGUAUGCCCUUUUACAUAACUGCAAUUUGAUCAGAUAAAAUAUUAGCUUCCUCCAUAUAAUAUGUUGUCAAAAUGAUUGAGCGCUCUUGUUUUAUAGCGCCAAUAACACUUGCAAUGCUAUGCCUAUUAAAAGUGUCGAAGGCUUAUAUAACCUUAGAUUCGUUAUGUUGUUCGACUUUAGAUUUGGCUACAUAAUUAAGUUUGACAUCAACGAAAAAACUUUUAGCUUUCUUAAAGAUUGAAUUGUCACAUGAUAGUGUUAUGACUUAUUAGUAUCUCUUACUUUAAAAUGUAAAUGAAAGUAUACUGUCCUUGCAUAAUUUUGUCACAAUGCUUCAGAGUUAAGUCUCAAUAUCAUAUUCAUACUUUGAGUUAAAAACAUGAUAGUGUUAAAAACUUUAAUCUCAAAGGCUACCUUCAAAAUGCUUAUGUGCAUCCUGUUUUCAAAGGUGACGAUGAGGACGAAGAUGAGGACUUCAUGAACAAAAUGGAGACUGAUAGCAUGAUUUUCCCCACAAAACGCCAAUCAAGAUUAAAUACCCCAGUGCCCAGCAAAGUCAGUGUUGGCUCGUCUCCAUCACUUCCUGAUGAAUUAAGUCUCAAUGUCCCAGUCCUAGUUUGAGUUAAAAAUAUGUAUAUAGUCAUAAAUAUAUACAUUCAGCAUUCACACAUGGAAGAAAAAAACAGUCAAAAACAGAAGGGAGUAAUGCACCUGAGAUGCAUAUUUCCAGAAUGAUUCAGACGCUUAGCAAUUUGCUAAUCGACCAUCUAUGACAUACUAAUCCAACAUUAAAAAAUCUCAGAGAAUGAUUUUGGGGUGUAAUUUUUUCCGGCAAAUUUUUCGGCAAAAGGAAAGAGGGAACUAUGCGUUUUUUUAAUCUAAUAUAUGCAAGAGGAGAAAUUCAAUUAGUUUUAAAACUGAUAGUGAGGAGGGAGAAUAGAGAUAGUGGGAGUAGUUGGUGGUUUGUAUUGCUUGAAAAUUUUAAAAAUUCUGAAAAAAACGGUCCUUCACAUUUUUUUAAAUAAAUUUGAAACUCCAACAAAGUUGGAGGAUUGUCCAAAAUUUAAUACAUGUGCCAAUUUAAUGUUAUG